GCCAUGUUGUUGCCUCGGAAGGGGGAAGCUUGAGACACUUAAAUAGCAGGCCUCCUGGUUAUGGUGGAGUUAAAAAUGGAAAGAACCCGGGUGCUUAAUGAUGUCAGCAAGCCCCUGAGUCGGCCAACUCUGGAGACUUUCUACCUCAGGAGUCCUUAUUAUGCUUCACACCCAGCGUGA
rnacentral:lncRNA from 1 species